rnacentral:rRNA from 1 species
AACGAACGCUGGCGGCAUGCCUAACACAUGCAAGUCGAACGAGACCUUCGGGUCUAGUUGCGCACGGGUGCGUAACGCGUGGGACCUGCCCCUUGGGUCGGAAUAACUUCCCGUAAGGGGUGCUUAAACCGGAUAAUGUUUUUGGACCAAAGAUUUUUCGCCUUUGGAUGGGGCCGCGUUGGAUUUGCUAGUUGGUAGGGGAAAAGCCUACCAAGGCGACGAUCCAUGGCUGGUUUGAGAGGAGGAUCAGCCACACUGGGACUGAGACACGGCCCAGACUCCUACGGGAGGCAGCAGUGGGGAAUAUUGGACAAUGGGCGAAAGCCUGAUCCAGCAAUGCCGCGUGAGUGAUGAAGGCCUUAGGGUUGUAAAGCUCUUUUACCCGGGAUGAUAAUGACAGUACCGGGAGAAUAAGCUCCGGCUAACUCCGUG